CUUUUGUACAGCUGGAGCUUUUAUCACGGCUAUUACUUAGCCAAACACAAAAGCAAAACACAACGUAUUAAGCAAAGAUUUUGAUAGAAGAGGAGAAACGGAGGCUCAGAGAAGACCCAGGAGAAGGGUUGGAAAGAGGAGGGUCUGAGGCUGGAAGCUCCUGUCUGACUGCGAGCUUGAGCCUUCGACCAUCAGGCAGCUGGAAUGCGGAUUCUAAGGGAAGUCGGGAAGUCCCAGAGGCAGGCAAUGUUUCCAAGAGUCCAGCCCUGGACACUCCCAGGACCUGCUUCCCUCGUUUAGUCCUGAACAGGGACCACUCUGCAAUGCCCCUUAGAAGGAUGUUAGACUUGUGGAGCCCACAUUAGAGGGACUGUGGAAGAUCUCUGGUGUCAGGGUGUGCUGGUUCAAGUCUAGGCUCCUCCACUAAAUUGCUGAGAUCUUGCGCCUUGGUUUUCUCACCUACGAAAUGGGGCACAGUCACUGUUCCACACUCAUAGGGCUGUUGCCAAGAUGAAGGACUUGGCUCACAGAGAGCCCACAGUAUGGGUUGAGUUAAUUAUUAUUGGGCUUCCCUGGUGGCUCAGUGGUGAAGAAUCCACCUGCCAAUUCAGGAGCCACAGGAGACGCAGGAUCAAUCCUUGGGUCGGGAAGAUCCCCUGGAAAAGGAAUUUGCAACCCACUCCAGUAUUCUGGCAUGGACAGAGGUGCCUGGCCAGGCUACAGUCCUUGGGGUCGCAAAGAGUCCGACACGACUUAGCAACUAAACAAUUACUAUUUUAUUAAACUUUUCAAGCUGGCCUCUGAAGAAGGAAGACAGGAAAGGGAAGCCGUUGGUGGGCCCCCUGAAGCACCUCCUCUUCCCACGUUCCUGGGAAGGGCAACGGAGGAGGGAGGAGGCAGCCUCAAAUCCUCUCAGUUACCAAUCGUGCCCAUUCCCUGGUGUGUUCCCUUCAGCCUUGCAAAGCGUGGACAGAGAAACACUAACUUCUGCCCACAAAGGGUGUGGCAGAAGACACGAGCGGCCCUGAGGAGUAUUUAUGGGCUGUCCCAUGGGUGUUCUCAGGUUUCCCCGACAGUCCCAAGGUGAAGCAGCCAUUUCCCAUCUGCCAUUAAUCUUGCAAACAAACGCCUGAAGUGGCCCCAGGUGGGAGUUUUCCUAUUAAUUAAUUGUGGCUUCAGAACUGAGUUCAGAGCCCAUUAGGCAGGGCCCUUGCAGGUGGCCGGCGCUACGUGCAGCUCGCCGUGGCCCUGGCUUACCGAGGAGCCUGGCAUGCUGCAGUCCAUGAGGUCGCAAACAGUCAGACACAACUGAACCACUGAACAACAACUGCCACGCUGAGCUGUGAUCCAUCGCUAACAGCCCAGGCUUCUAUAGGACACACACUGGUUGGCUUAUCUGCUCACUUCCCAACUCAAGAAGGCCAAUGGGCAUCUGUUGAUGUCUCGUUGCUACUGUUCCAGCCAUCACUCUGAGUACAUCAUCACGUCUCCCUCCACGUCUCAGGAUAUCUGCUCGGCGCCUCGUCUUGCAAAUGUCCCCUUCAUGUCUCAGGGCCUUCUCCAAAGCUCUACCGUGAGGCAUCCUCAUUUGUUCAACCAACCAAUGAACCAACCAACCAUCUCAUCAAUCAUCUUAUUAAUGAACUGACCAUCUAACUGGGAAACCAAACACACAACCCAGAUAAUGGAACCACCAACCAUCAACCAACAGGCUAAUCAGUCAACUAAUCAACCAAUUAGCCAACUGAUCAGUGAACAAGUCAACAAGCCAACCAACUACUCAACCAUUCAAUGAGCAACGAAUGACUCAUCCAAUCCCACAAACCAACCAACCGAAUGACUGCUAAUCAACAAAUGAAGAAAAAUUUACUAGUUUUGGGCAAAUCCUCAAAACAAGACUGGCCCAGGGCAAGGGGUAUCUGCCUCCGGUUGGGGUUUCAGCAACUCUCCUGCUUAAGGAACCUCAGCUUUGCACUACCUCCCUGGGUAACCCAGGGCCAGACAUUAUCCCUUCCGAGGCUGACUACAGUUUGGCCAGCUGGGUUCCUGGGGGCACAGGCUUCCAUGCAAGGGCCCUGGGGCUCCCUUGGAAGGCAAGAGGUAGCCGUGUAGGCAGGGACUAGGACUGUCAUCUCUGCUUUCACCUUGUAUCUGUCUUGUGCAUUGGAACUUUGUGUAAGACUUUAUAUGAAAAAGUCUUGGAUGUUUUAAAAGCCAUUUUUAAAUGUUUAAAAACCAUUGCAUUGGUUUUCAGCUGUAAGGGGGCUGUUCCGUUGUGGUUGUAGGGAAGGCUCGAAGGAGACCCUGGGCUCCAGACCUAGGGUUUCCAGGAAGAACUUGUGGGUUAGCAGUGAUUUCCUUGGUUGGAAAGCACAGAGGCAGCCCUCUGUAUCUCUGGAGGACGUGUGACUGCCGAGUUCGGGGACACGGCAGCUGGGAACCCGAUGUACUUAAAAGCAUUCAGAGACCACAUAGCAGUGAAUCGCUGAGUAUAAACAACCACUAAAUGCAUCUCCUCACUCGUUCCCAAGCGCAGCUGCUUACCACGAUACAACGUGCCGUUGCAGUUCGUAAACAGCCGAGGCAGGGCAUGGGAGGGCCUCCGAUUCGGCAUCCAUAGGAGCUGACUCCAAAGCCUCCGAUCCCAGGCAGCAGCUGCCCUUCUGCCUGGUUCUCGAGUUGCCCCUGCGGGAGGGACACAGAGCCAGGGCGUACAUCACAACGGCCCGUGGACCAGCCCCCAGAGGCCCGGAGUGGGCCGUGCAGCUGGGACUCCCCAGGUACUCCAACUAAGCCCCCUUAAAGUGAAAAGGCAGCCAAAGAGUUCCUAAGGCUCCUACUGGGGCAGAGAAAGCCAGGCAUCAAGGGCUCAGGCGUUGGGCUGAAUCCGAACUUGCUGCGAGACCCCGGACAGGUCACUUUGUCUUUCUGAGCCUCUAUUUUUCCUCUUCUGUGUAAAAUGGGGCUGGCCAGAGGUUACCACUGAGAGGCCGCAACUAAGACAAAGCGCAAAUAAACAGAGACUUUUUAAAGAGUAGGAUGCCUCUUCCUUUACUGGGAUCCUCACUCUCCAGAUGAACCAACUGGCUGAGCAGGGAGACUUUGACGGGAGUGGGGCAUGUAAUUCAGGUUUCUAAGUCCACGUCUCUUUCCAUAACCCCACGUUGGGCUGCAAGCUGCAGGCCCGCGAGCCUUGUAGUCGUCUAGCCUCGAGACCGAAGAAAGAGCCCGGAGACAGGGACAGGGACAUCCACGGUCCGUCGGACAGAAGACCUUACAUGUCCGAAGCCAGGUCUUGGAGCAACACACCACUGUCUGCGGCAGGCGGUGACUGCUACGGGGCCAUCAUCUUCACCACUGAGGGCGGGGCGAGGGAAUGCUAUCGCUUAUAGGGGGGAACUGACGUCAGCUAGGUUACCAGGGCAACCAGUCGCUUGGACACGUGCUGCUCACAGUCCCUCAGGUUAACGACCAUCUCGAGGGCAGGUGUUUCCUAUUAGUAAACUAGUAGGUGGAGCCUUUCGGGGCUAAGGAUUAGAACCCGCACUAGCUGGGGCAGGGGGCAGGCACAGGCUGGGGGACCGGAGAAGGUGCCGGUGAAGCAGGGGCGGGUUGAGCAGGGGAGGUACAGAGAACAGGAGAACCACCACCUUGAAUAGCCUGACCAUACACCCUAGGUUGUUUUUUUGUUCUCCCUCUGGGUGUUUAUUUUCCAGUCCCCCUCUUGUGGCUCCAGGAUGCUCUUCUUCUAGAGAUGGGGAUUAACUUCACAGUGGAGGAAAAGGGGAUCUCACAUCUUCAUCAGCACCCCCACCACCUUACAGAAAAAGAAGCUGAGGUUCAGAGAAGAUAUCUGACCUCCUGAGUAUUAAUUUCACUGAGACCCCUAGGUUUUGCA
ensembl:lncRNA